rnacentral:rRNA from 1 species
GAUGAACGCUGGCUACAGGCUUAAAACAUGCAAGUCGAGGGGAAACGACGGGGAAGCUUGCUUCCCCGGGCGUCGACCGGCGCACGGGUGAGUAACGCGUAUCCAACCUGCCUCUGACUGAGGGAUAACCCGUCGAAAGUCGGCCUAAUACCUCAUGGCAUCGUCUGCGGGCAUCCAACGACGAUUAAAGAUUUCAUCGGUCAGGGAUGGGGAUGCGUCUGAUUAGCUUGUUGGCGGGGUAACGGCCCACCAAGGCUACGAUCAGUAGGGGUUCUGAGAGGAAGGUCCCCCACAUUGGAACUGAGACACGGUCCAAACUCCUACGGGAGGCAGCAGUGAGGAAUAUUGGUCAAUGGGCGGGAGCCUGAACCAGCCAAGUAGCGUGCAGGAUGACGGCCCUAUGGGUUGUAAACUGCUUUUAUGCGGGGAUAAAGUGAGGGACGUGUCCUUCAUUGCAGGUACCGCAUGAAUAAGGACCGGCUAAUUCCGUG